rnacentral:misc_RNA from 1 species
GACAGUCUGUAUUAGUCAUUUGCGAAAGGAAUACUUUAUUGUAGGUUGUGUCUAGGUGCGGUAUGUAAGUAUUUAACAAUUUCUCCCUUACUUUUUAUAUAAGAAUUAGAAAUGUGUAGAUCAUGCUUAACAUUAAAUGUAUAAUUAAUGUUCCUUAUGAAUAUUUAGUCCUUAGAGAAUGUAAUUGUUUUAGCUUGUAAGAAAAUCAAUGAUAUCAAUAAUUUAGUUGGAAAAGUAUUAGAAUAAUAAAACACGUUUGAACAUAUCAAUAUAUUUGAGUACCAUUUUGAACUGCUCAUUUGUUCUUUUCAAUAUCUUUUUCGCAGUGAAAUUCAGUUAUGUCUUGGAAUAGCUAUAUAGACAAUUUAAUUGCCCAUUCCAAAGAUGCUAGCGGAAAAUGUCAUGUUGAAAGUGCAUGUAUAAUUAGCAUAGAUGGAGGUACACAAUGGACGACUGCAGGGGCAAAUGUUACACCAAUCACCCCAAAUGAGGCCGCUGAAAUUGCAAAACCUUUUAAAAGCUGUGAUUUUACUUCAUUUAUGGUCGGUGGCUGUACGAUUUCAUCUACCAGAUAUCAAUUUCUGAGAGAAAUGGAUAAAAAAAUUUGUCUCUUCAAACUGAAAGAUCAUGGAUCAAUCUCUAUGCAGAGCAGCAAAACAGCCAUUGUAAUAGCCAAGUGCCCAGAAGGAGGACAGCAAGGAAAUGCUAAUAAAGCUGUUGCAGUUAUCGCCGAAUAUUUAGAAUCUCUAAAUAUGUAAAACAAUAUGAUAUCAAUAAAAUUAUCUAUUAUAAUUUAUAUAGUUUGUCUUCCAUCAUUAUAAUAUCAUUGUAUAUAGUUCUCUACAUCCAUUUUUACAUCUUAUGAACGAUGAUAAAGACAGGAAAAGAAUUUUUGACUAUGUACUUUAUGGGUGUUUUACAUCAUCAAUAAAUGUAAUUCAUUAUUUGAACCAGAAGAACGUUAGCUAUUUCAUCACUUUUUUCCCUAGAAUUUGUGAUUAUCAAAGGGGUUAAAGUAAUACCUGUGGAAUUAUUACAAAGAAAAUAUAUAAUCUGAAUCACUUAUACAUUGUUGCAAUGUUUAAACAUUCAAUUGCGAAAAGAUUAGUUUUAUAUUCAAUAAAAGGACUUAAUUUAUGUCUUGAGUUUCGUCUCAUUUUUAUCUUUAU